AUCUACAGGCUUAACACAUGCAAGUCGAGGGGCAGCAUGGUCUUAGCUUGCUAAGGCCGAUGGCGACCGGCGCACGGGUGAGUAACACGUAUCCAACCUGCCGUCUACUCUUGGACAGCCUUCUGAAAGGAAGAUUAAUACAAGAUGGCAUCAUGAGUCCGCAUGUUCACAUGAUUAAAGGUAUUCCGGUAGACGAUGGGGAUGCGUUCCAUUAGAUAGUAGGCGGGGUAACGGCCCACCUAGUCUUCGAUGGAUAGGGGUUCUGAGAGGAAGGUCCCCCACAUUGGAACUGAGACACGGUCCAAACUCCUACGGGAGGCAGCAGUGAGGAAUAUUGGUCAAUGGGCGAGAGCUUGAACCAGCCAAGUAGCGUGAAGGAUGACUGCCCUAUGGGUUGUAAACUUCUUUUAUAAAGGAAUAAAGUCGGGUAUGGAUACCCGUUUGCAUGUACUUUAUGAAUAAGGAUCGGCUAACUCCGUGCCAGCAGCCGCGGUAAUACGGAGGAUCCGAGCGUUAUCCGGAUUUAUUGGGUUUAAAGGGAGCGUAGAUGGAUGUUUAAGUCAGUUGUGAAAGUUUGCGGCUCAACCGUAAAAUUGCAGUUGAUACUGGAUAUCUUGAGUGCAGUUGAGGCAGGCGGAAUUCGUGGUGUAGCGGUGAAAUGCUUAGAUAUCACGAAGAACUCCGAUUGCGAAGGCAGCCUGCUAAGCUGCAACUGACAUUGAGGCCCGAAAGUGUGGGUAUCAAACAGGAUUAGAUACCCUGGUAGUCCACACGGUAAACGAUGAAUACUCGCUGUUUGCGAUAUACUGCAAGCGGCCAAGCGAAAGCGUUAAGUAUUCCACCUGGGGAGUACGCCGGCAACGGUGAAACCCAAAGGAAUUGACGGGGGCCCGCACAAGCGGAGGAACAUGUGGUUUAAUUCGAUGAUACGCGAGGAACCUUACCCGGGCUUAAAUUGCAGAUGAAUUACGGUGAAAGCCGUAAGCCGCAAGGCAUCUGUGAAGGUGCUGCAUGGUUGUCGUCAGCUCGUGCCGUGAGGUGUCGGCUUAAGUGCCAUAACGAGCGCAACCCUUGUUGUCAGUUACUAACAGGUUCCGCUGAGGACUCUGACAAGACUGCCAUCGUAAGAUGUGAGGAAGGUGGGGAUGACGUCAAAUCAGCACGGCCCUUACGUCCGGGGCUACACACGUGUUACAAUGGGGGGUACAGAGGGCCGCUACCACGCGAGUGGAUGCCAAUCCCCAAAACCUCUCUCAGUUCGGACUGGAGUCUGCAACCCGACUCCACGAAGCUGGAUUCGCUAGUAAUCGCGCAUCAGCCACGGCGCGGUGAAUACGUUCCCGGGCCUUGUACACACCGCCCGUCAAGCCAUGGGAGCCGGGGGUACCUGAAGUGCGUAACCGCGAGGAGCGCCCUAGGGUAAAACUGGUGACUGGGGCUAA
rnacentral:rRNA from 1 species